GGGCAAAUAGCUCCUGUGCGACGUGUUUGAUGUGAAUUUGCUUGAGUGCGACGUUGUUCGAGCGAAUGGCUGUGGUGCGACACAUUUAAGCAGCUGACCGUGCCCUGCCGCCCGACCGUGCCGGACCCGCCACUCUGCCCCCUCCCCCCUUCUUCUCCGGUGGCGGCGGAUCUUGCGUUCUCAACGGCGGCGGCGGAGCCCUCGUUCUCAACGGCGGCGGAGCCUUCGUCCUCAAAAAAUGGUUGUGAGGGGAGCCCGUGGGCAUACUGAGAUGGAGCCCCCAGAUUCAACUUCGAAUAGAGGGGAUGCUGCCGCUCGGACCUUCGAAUUGACGGUCAAUUUCUUUCCAUCAAAGGCAAAAUUAGUUGAUGGUAGCAUUCAGAACAUUGAGAGAGACACAAUUGUUAAAUGGGAGGUUGAGUUUACAGAGAUUGAUCCACAAGUUCUACAGAACAU